rnacentral:lncRNA from 1 species
UCUAGGACUCAGAAAUAUAGAUGUUAGUAAGAGCAAACAGACAUAACAGAUAACACAUACAAAGUGCCUACCACAUGCUAACCACUGCUGCAGGCACUUUCUAUAGAAGAACUAAUUUAAUCAUCACCAUAACCCUAUGGGGUAGAUGAUAUUUUUACAACCUCCAUUUUACAGAUGAAGAAACUGAAGCAUAGACCUGCUUAUGUGAGAAGAAACGCAGGGAGACAGUUCAGUCACUGCAAUCUUCAUGCCCAUCAGUUUCUUGUGAGAAGAAAACAAGACUGGCAACGCCUGCUUCCUCCUCUGAGCUGUCAAGUAGGAAGUCCGGGCUGCUCUGCUAGAAAGAGAAGUCAUGUGCAGGAGCACUGAGGCAUCCCAGGUGUGACACUCUUCCACCUAGAGCAUUCCGUCUCUCAUCCUCUGCCAUGUAGCAAACUGCUAUGCAUCCUUCAGCUGCAAGGGAUUGAAUGCUAUCAACAACCAUACAAGUGGAGAAGCAGAUGCUUCCCUAGCUGAGCCUCAGGCUUUUUGAUGGAAUUGCUACAACUUGGUGCAUGCCUGCUCCUAAAAGAAAUACUCAGGAAUUGUCUCAUAAAGUCCUCACCUACUGGCAAAAACAAGAUGUUCUACUCCCAGGUUGACUUUUUCAAGCCCCAAGAUGUUGAGUCAGCCAUUCUCCAAGGAUCUCGAUUUCCUUUUAAUGGAAAAUAACAUUAAACACCAAAUAUAAGCCUCGCUGUCCCACAUGCGUAUUGGGGACAAGAUGAAACCUGCUUCCAGGCUACUUUGGCAGCAGAACUGAAAAAGGCUUUUUUUCCAGAUAUAUGAUUUCUCAUCGACAGGGUUGCACAGCCCUCUUUAUUGUUCGUGUAAAUGACACCCUUGGAUCUGAACAAUACACACCAGGACAAUUGUGUGCAACAGUUCUACAAACUGAUAUUUCUAAUUAAAAAAUAAAAAGUAAAAAAAUUUCUAAUGCAUUUCUCAUUAACCAGGAUACGUACAUUUUAAACUCUCAUUCAGACAGAUAUUGCAAUGUGUUUGCUUAUUAUUUGCUUUUGUGGGUCACGCAAAGCCUUCCAAUUUGCUGUUAGUUGGCAUUUGAUGUACCUAUUUCCAGACUUCUUAUAUACAUAUACAAAUUUGGACACAUGCAGAUAGUAUUGUGGUUUUGAUACUUGUUUUUUUAAAAAUAGAAUUCUACUCUAUAAAUUGUUCUGCAAAUUAUUAUAUCUGACCAGUAUAAUUUUCUGCAAUGAUGAAAAUGUUCUAUACCUGUGACUAUGGAGCCCUUAAAAACAUGGCUAAUAUGAACAAGGAACUAAACUUUUCAUUUUAUUUUAUUUCAAUUUACCUAACUUCGAGUCGUUAGUAGAAGUUACAUGCAGCUAGUUGUUAAUGUAUUAGACAGCUCAGUUCUAAAGGAUCAUAUAGAUUACCUUCAUGACCUGAGACAGGAAAAGAUUUCUUAAGUAAGAUACAAAAACCAUGGAGUAAAUGAGAAAAUAUUUGUAUUAUAUUAAAGCUAAGAUGACACAAGAUGGCUCACAUCUGUAUUUCCAGCACUUUUGGAGACUAAGGCAGGAGGAUUGUUUGAGCCCAGGAGUUCAAGUCCAACCUGGCAACAUAGAAAGACACUAUCUCUUCAAAAAAUUAAAAAAAAAAAUAGCCAGGCAUGGUGGCACAUGCCCAUAGUCCCAGCUACUGGGGAAACUGAGGCAGGAGGAUCAUUUAAGCCUAGGAGGUUGAGGCUGAAAUGAGCCAAGAUCACACCACUGCACUAGAGCCAGAGUGACAGAGUGAGAGCCUCAAAGAAAAAAAAAAAACCUAAGAAAUUUUAUGUAGAGAUACCAUUAAAAGCAUUAAAAGAGUAGAAAAAGAACCACAGAAUGGGAGAAGAUAUUUGCAACACUGUUAAGACAAAGGGCUUGUAUACAUAAUAUAUGAUGAGCUCCGAUAACUCAGUAAGAAAAACACAGACAAUCCAAAAUGAACAAGGUAUAAUAAGCCCUCACUUAAUGUCUUUGAUAGGAUCAUGGAAGCUGUGACUUUAAGCAAAAAAUAAAAUAUAACAAAACCAAUUUUACCAUAGGUGAAUUGAUAUAAGUAAGAGUUCAGUUCCUGGCAUAUUACUGGUGACAAAAAAUCACCAAACUUCUAAAAAAAAGACCAAAAUACAUUUAAUAUUAAACAUUGAAAUAAAUGUGAGCUACACAUACAUUUAGGAAAGAUUAAUAAAAACAAUAUAAGUUCAUUCACUUAUUCCAAUUCAGAGUCUCGGGUGCUGGAGCCUCUGCAGGGGCUAAGGGUGAAAGGUGGAAAUACACCCUGGACAGGACACCAUCCCGUCGUAGGGCACACUCACACCCACACCCACAUUCAUUUGGACUGGGACACUUUAGACUGUCAAUUCAUCUAAUGUGCACAUCUUUGAGAUGUGGGAGGAAACUGGAGGACCUGGAGAAAAUGCAUGCAGACAUGGGGAGAACAUGUCAACCCCACAUAGACAGUGACCCCAGCUGGGAAUUGACUUUUUUUCUCUUAAGGUUAUUAUAAAACAAUGUUAUUUGAGGACUUGCUGUAUUUGUACAAGCCCUUGUCUAUAAAACUAACUCAGAUGGCUAAUACACAUUUGAAAAGGUGCGGAAUUUCAUUAUUUCAUUAGUCAUAAGGAAAAUGAAAACUAAAGCUCUACACAUUCCAAAAUGGCUAAAGUUAAGAAGAGCAAUAUUAUCGAGUGUUGAUAAUAUUGUGGAGCACCUUGAAUGCUUAUGCAUUGCUGGUAGGAAUGUAAAUUAGUACAACAACUUUGGGAAACAGUCUGGCAUUAUCUAAUAAAGUUGAACAUAGUCAUUCCCUAUGAGUAAGCACUUCCAGUCCUAGGUAUAAACUGGAUAGAAUUGCUUUGUAUAGAGACACAAAGACAUAUGCAAGAAUGUCCACAGCAUCCUUACACAUAAUGGCCGAAAAACUAAAAACACCUCAAAUGUUAGGACUACAAUGGUAAAUUGUGUAUAUUCAUAGAGUGAUAUUUUAAUCAACAAUAAGUACAUUAGAAUUGCAAUUACAUGUGAUGGCAAAAGUAAGUCUCACAAACAUAAUAUUGAGCAAAACAAGGCACAUAUGAAAGAAUAAGCCUGCUUAUAUAAAACUCAAAGAUGGGUAGAACUGAACUAUGGUAUUAGAGAUUAGAAUACUAGUUAACUCAAAAAGUGCCAGAAAGUGGGCUUUUAUGACGCUGGCUAUUUAUUUCCUGGCUUUAUGGUAGUUACACAAAUGCUUGCUUGAUGAUACUUUAUGAAGAAGGACAUUUCAGUUUUAAAUACUAUUCAUUAUGUGCGUUAUUCUUCAAUAAAAAGUAUUUUUAGAAAGAGAUAUUAAAAUUUGAACCCCAGAGAACAAUUUGAGAGUGACCAUUUCCUAAAGCAACUGUUAUUACUUUUCAAAACAUUUAAUAUUGGUAUAAACAAAUAAACAAAUACAGUCUCAUUAUAGUUUGCAUUUUAUGUUAUUAAUAAUUUUACUAGAUAUUUGUAUUCUGCAUCUGUGAAAUGCUUAUUCGUAGCCUUUUCUCAUAUUUCUAUGGAAUAUUCGUCAUUUGCACAAUGAUUUAUAAGAAUAAAAUUGUAUAUUUUGUUCUAUUGUAAAACUGUUGUAUAGUAAGGAUUGUGCCCAUUUAUCUGUCAAACAGGUUGCAAAUAUUUCCCCCAGUCUGGCAUUGAAUUUUGUUUGUAGUGUGAUUUUCCCAUGCCAAAGUGUUUGUUUUUAUUUUUUCUGCAGUCACUUUCAUUAUAUCAUUUAGUUUAUGGUUUCUGAGGUUUUAAUUGCUUAUAAUAGCAUCCCCACUCCUAGAUUAUAGAAAAUAUUUCCCUGUUUUCCUCUAGUAUUUAAAUAGUUAAAUUUUAAAAAAUAGAAAUAUUUUAUGCAUCAGAAGUUUAUUUUUGUUUAUGAUGGGAUACUAAGUCUACAUUUUUCCUUAUGUCCGUCUGCAUGUCAAUUGUCCAAACAACAUUUAUCGCAUGCAUGACUCAUGUUGUCUCCACCAAUUUGAUUCUCAUUUAAAUAUGUGUAUAUUUACAUAUGUAAAUAUAUACAUAUAUAUGUAUAGAUAUAUAUUAGAUUCCCUUACGUACUUGAGUUUGUGUCAGGAUUCUCUGUUAUGUUACUUAAUUUAUUUACCUAAUCUUGUACCUAUGCCAUGAUGAUUUAAUUACUCUGGCUAAUCAGGCUACAGCCCAGGCACUGAAAUAUAAAAUAGCAGGUUUUGCUUAAUGUUUUGGCUUCAUCACUCAUAUGUCUGGCUUAUAGGUGCUAUUCCGUGUGCUUCUGUCUCCCCAUGGCAUCUCAUCCUGCAGAGUCUCUGCCCGUGGACUCUCUUUUCAGAAGAGUAGUCAGAAGUCUUAAUAUCUUAUGUGGCAUAAGGCUUCUAAGCACAGAAAAGUGUGUGGUGUUAGGUCUUUUUAAGGUAUAACCUUGGGAUUGCCACCACAGUACUUUGCUAACAAAUCUUCUGCUUUGUUAGGAAGUCACAGGUUAGUCACAUUCAAUAUGGAAAUGACUACACAUGGGCAUUAUACCAGGAGGAGUGUCCAUUGAGUGCUACCUUUGCAGACUAGCUACCACAGUGGGUAUCCUUGUCUUAGUCUUAUCUAUAAUAGAAAUGUCUUAAGUCCUUCAUUACUAUUUGUUACUGAUUUCUAGAUUUUAUCAAGAUUAAAAAGGGAUCUACAAUCCACAGAGGUUUGUUUUCUUUUAUCGGAAUGGUUGCUAAAUAGUAUCAAAUACAAUUUGAAAUUUAUAAAGAUAAUCAUUUGGUUUUCUCCUUUAAAAUACUUAUGCAAUAAACUCUAUUAACAGAAAAAAAAAAAA